UACGAAGGGGGCGAGCGUUGUUCGGAUUUACUGGGCGUAAAGGGCGCGUAGGCGGCGGGUCAAGUCGAGUGUGAAAGCCCCGGGCUCAACCUGGGAAUUGCGCUCGAGACUGGUCUGCUUGAGUUCGGGAGAGGAGCGUGGAAUUCCCAGUGUAGAGGUGAAAUUCGUAGAUAUUGGGAAGAACACCGGUGGCGAAGGCGGCGCUCUGGACCGAGACUGACGCUGAGGCGCGAAAGCGGUGGGGAGCAAACAGG
rnacentral:rRNA from 1 species